UUUUGUUAUGUCCCGCAAUUGAUUACAAAAAUAAAUGGGGGAAUGAAGGCGACUCUAUAUCCUCUGCUUUCCUUGCGCUUCUCUACCAUUUCUUCCCAAAUCAUACUCUUCCAAUUCGUUCUCACAACCAGGAGAUUCGAGUCUGCACCAAUCGCAUUUGCUGCGGUCAAGGUUCCUUUCAGACACUCCGAACUCUCAGCGGCGUCGCACCUUCCUCCAUUGGUUGUUUACGAAACUGCGGCGCUGGCCCUAACGUUGGCCAUAAAGCAGUUGUCUGGUGGAGGCUGUGAUUCUAUCGGUGUGUGUAAGAGUUUGAAGGCUCUUUCUCUGUGGACGAGAGAUGAAGUGAAUUGGAGGUCGGGAAUUUCUCUCAGGCCGAGCCACUUUUCCUGCAGUUAAAAUUGUUCCGCCUUUUACUGAGUGGCAAUGUUGGUAACCACUUCUCCAUUCUGCUUUUUUCUCCGAUUCGUUUACGGAUAUCUCUGCACUUGAAAUUUCUUGUUCCUCGACUUCACUGAAGCAGCUGCAUUCAGAAAUUUAGCUACACAGAACUUCUUUGAAAAAUUUCAGGUCUAUCAUGAUAUUAGCACAGCGGAACCAUUCUGGGGACCUUGAAGAUGCAAAUGAAGCUCUAGGUGAGAAGUAUGUUGGUUAAUCAUCAUGUGCAUUACAUUCCAUCUCAAAAGAUAGACGUUAGUUUUGAGAAAAUAACUAGAUUGCCACACUAAAAUGAGUCUGGAUUGUGAAUUUAGUUAUUAUCGAAGGAGAAAAAUGUAGAGCUAAGGUUGUGAUACAUCAGUUUAUGGACAAGAUUUACGGUAUACAGAAUUCCAAUUUCUUCCAUUUCAAAUGAUUUUAAGAAGAUCUGUGUAGUGCCAAGCUCUAGAUGUCAAGAGCAAGAGAAAAUUCAGAGGAUAACAGGAAAACUUUGGACAUGACCUUCAAUUAUAAUUGUAAAUUCAGGGAUCAACUCUUCUUUGUGAUGCACGAACCUUUAUGCCACGGACCUCCUGGAUGUAAGGAAAAAAAGUUCAAAUUCUGAAGACUGAUGAUUCUAAACUGUAAUUUAGAGGUCUUUUCGAACCCUCAUUCAGCUAACAUGCAACUUUGUUGAUCAUCACUAUUUUUUUUGUCCUUUUAAUCGAGAAGAUGUGAGAAAUGGGGUCUGAACUAUGUAAUCGUAUAGUUCCCAAGAUUUGUUUUCUAAUUUUCAUUUUGCAGGCUUACAUUUGCAAAGGUACGCAUUCUUAACUAAGGACCAUUUUGAUUCAGCUGCGACGCUAUAUUCAACAGCUUUAAAAUUUGAUCCUUCAAUUCGCCUUCAGAACCAUUCAAGGUGUGAGUUGCUAAAUUUCAGGAGAGACUCGGUGCCGUGCAUACACAACAAAUUCUGAGAACAAAAAUAAUGAUGACACAGUUCGAGAUUCAGUCGUGCAUUCAGGGAUUCCCUGUUCAUUAUCUUACUGUCUUCCUCAAAUUAGACCACAGCAAAAAGCAGAUAAAAGUUGGUGUCAUAAGGUGAUGGAACUUAAAACUAUUUCAUACUGCUUUCUAGUACUAACAUUUAGUGUCCAAUGCCACAGUACCAACAAAAAACUUCCACGAAGUUAUUUAUAAGGGAUUGGGGAUUGGCAAUCUUACUA